rnacentral:rRNA from 1 species
CCACAUCAUGGAAGCCCGCUGCACCCGAAGUCGCCGCGUCAACUGCAAGGAGACAGGCGCCGAAGGUAUGGCUGGUGACUGGGAUG